UCUCCUCUGGACUCUGCUGGAGAAGGGCUACUGGGCUCCUCAGGGCUGGCUGGAGGGGUCCAGGAGUCCUCCCCUCGUGAGAGGCCAGGACAGGACUCCUG
rnacentral:pre_miRNA from 10 species